UACGGAGGGUGCAAGCGUUGCCCGGAAUCAUUGGGCGUAAAGAGCGUGUAGGCGGCCUGAAAGGUCAGCUGUGAAAACUCGAGGCUCAACCUCGAGACGUCGGUUGAAACCAUCUGGCUAGAGUCCGGAAGAGGAGUGUGGAAUUCCCGGUGUAGCGGUGAAAUGCGCAGAUAUCGGGAAGAACACCCGUGGCGAAGGCGGCACUCUGGGACGGUACUGACGCUGAGACGCGAAAGCGUGGGGAGCGAACAGG
rnacentral:rRNA from 1 species